rnacentral:rRNA from 1 species
GAUGAACGCUAGCUACAGGCUUAACACAUGCAAGUCGAGGGGCAGCAUUACGGUAGCUUGCUACUGUAGAUGGCGACCGGCGCACGGGUGAGUAACGCGUAUCCAACCUGCCCAUCACUUGGGAAUAACCUUGCGAAAGUAAGACUAAUGCCCAAUGACAUUUAUAGAAGGCAUCUGAAAUGAAUUAAAGAUUUAUCGGUGAUGGAUGGGGAUGCGUCUGAUUAGCUUGUUGGCGGGGUAACGGCCCACCAAGGCGACGAUCAGUAGGGGGUUCUGAGAGGAAGGUCCCCCCACAUUGGGAACUGAGACACGGUCCCAAACUCCUACGGGAGGCAGCAGUGAGGAAUAUUGGUCAAUGGGCGAGAGCCUGAACCAGCCAAGUAGCGUGCAGGAAGACGGCCCUAUGGGUUGUAAACUGCUUUUAUAGGGGAAUAAAGUGAGCCACGUGUGGUUUUUUGCAUGUACCCUAUGAAUAAGGACCGGCUAAUUCCGUGCCAGCAG